rnacentral:rRNA from 1 species
UACGGGGGGGGGCAAGCGUUGUUCGGAAUUACUGGGCGUAAAGGGCUCGUAGGCGGCCAACUAAGUCAGACGUGAAAUCCCUCGGCUUAACCGGGGAACUGCGUCUGAUACUGGAUGGCUUGAGUUUGGGAGAGGGAUGCGGAAUUCCAGGUGUAGCGGUGAAAUGCGCAGAUAUCAGGAGGAACACCGAUGGCGAAGGCAGGUCUCUGGGCAUUAACUGACGCUGAGGAGCGAAAGCAUGGGGAGCGAACAGG